rnacentral:rRNA from 1 species
AACGAACGCUGGCGGCAGGCCUAACACAUGCAAGUCGAACGUGAAGCCACCUUCGGGUGGUGGAAAGUGGCAGACGGGUGAGUAACGCGUGGGAAUCUACCCAAUGGUACGGAAUAACUCAGGGAAACUUGAGCUAAUACCGUAUGUGCCCGAAAGGGAAGAUUUAUCGCCAUUGGAUGAGCCCGCGUCUGAUUAGCUAGUUGGCGGGGUAAGU